GUUUAUUUUUAUACGACCGCAAAAAAAUUUUGUGGUCGUAUAUUGGUAUGACGUUGGCGUCGUCGUCGUCGUCGUCCGGCGUCGUCGUCCGAAUACAUAUUGGUUUUCGCACUCUAACUUUAGUUUAAGUGAAUGGAUCUUUUUGAAAUUUGACCAUAAGGUUAAAUACCACAAAAGGAAGGUUGGGAUUGAUUUUGGGGGUCAUGGUACCAACAGUUAAGGAAUUAGGGGCCAAAAAGGGGCCAAAAAUGAGCAUUUUCUAGUUUCCAGACAAUAACUGUGGAACGGUGUAUGGAUCUCUCUGAAAUUAUACUACAAGUUUCCAUACCACAAAGGGAUGGUUAGGAUUUGCUUUGGGGGGUUAUGGCUCAAACCGUUUAGGAAUUAGGGGCAAAAAAGGGGGAAAAACAAGGUUGUCCUGGUUAAUGGACAAAUACUUUAGUACAAAACAUAAUUUAAAGCAGUGUAAGGGAGAUAAAUCAAAUACAUCAUUGAAAUUAUCUCCCUUACACUACUUUUAAAUUAUGUAUAAAGUAAUGGUUAAUGAACAAUAAAGAUAAUCUAAAACAGUGUAAGGGAGGUAAUCCAAAUACAACGUUUUGGUUACUUCCCUUACACUGCUUUUAAAUUAUGUUUAAAGAAAUGCAUAUUUAUAAAGGAAGACCAGUAAAAAUAUCUGCAAAUGUUUUCAUCUUUUUUUUUUACAAAAAAAUCCAUAUGAAAGAUUUGACACUAUAUUUUUAUUAAUUCUAUUAUAAAAUAGAUUAAGUUAGCACUAUGGUAAAUUUAAAUGGGUAAUUAUGGUUGCCAACUCUUUUGGAAAUUUGAAUUGAGAUUAUGACCAUAUCUUGAGGGAAAGAAUUUUUUUUGGGGAAAAAGGGGGGGGGGAUAAAAAGAAAUUGUGGGGGGCCAAUUUUUUCUCAUUUCAGAUUUCAGAAAUUAAAAAGAAUUAUUCUUCAAAUAUUAUUUUUUUUUCAAAUUUCAAAUAUUGAAAAAUUUCAAGAAGUAAUCUUUAAUUGCACAGUAUGGCGCAUUAGAUUUGUAAAAUCUUUGAUCACAUUUAUUUAUUUGUUAUGCCGAAUCUAACAGUGUAUUUUGAUUUUUAAUUUUGGGUCCAGUUUUCAAAUUGGUCUACAUUAAUGUCCAAAGGGUCCAAAAUUAAACUUUGUUUGAUUUUAACAAAAAUUGAAUAUAUGGGGUUCUUUGAUAUGCUGAAUCUAAACAUGUAUUUAGAUUUUUGAUUAUUGGCCCAGUUUUCAAGUUGGUCCAAAUUGGGGUCCAAAAUUAAACUUUGUUUGAUUUCAACAAAAAUUGAAUAUAUGGGGUUCUUUGAUAUGCUGAAUCUAACCAUGUAUUUAGAUUUUUUAUUUGUGGACCCCGUUAUCUAAUUGGUUCAUAUUGAGGUCAAAAGGGUCCAAAAUUAAACUUUGUUUGAUUUCAUCUAAAAUUGAAUUAUUGGGGUUCUUUGAUAUUCCAAAUCUAACCGUGUAUUUAGGUUUUUAAUUUUGGGUCCUGUUUUUUAAAUUGGUCUACAUUGAGGUCCAAAGGGUCCAAAAUUAAACUAAGUUUGAUUUUAACAAAAAUUGAAUUCUUGGGGUUCUUUGAUAUGCUGAAUCUAAACAUGUGUUUAGAUUUUUGAUUAUGGGCCCAGUUUUCAAGUUGGUCCAAGUUGGGGUCCAAAAUUAAACUUUUUUUGAUUUCAACAAAAAUUGAAUAUAUGGGGUUCUUUGAUAUGCUGAAUCUAACCAUGAAUUUAGAUUUUUUAUUUGUGGGCCCCGCUAUCAAAUUGGUUCAUAUUGAGGUCAAAAGGGUCCAAAAUUAAACUUUGUUUGAUUUCAUCAAAAAUUGAAUUAUUGGGGUUCUUUGAUAUUCCAAAUCUAACCGUGUAUUUAGAUUUUUAAUUUUAAGUCCCGUUUUUUAAAUUGGUCUACAUUAAGGUCCAAAGGGUCCAAAAUUAAACUUAGUUUGAUUUUAGCAAAAAUUGAAUUCUUGGGGUUCUUUGAUAUGCUGAAUCUAAUCAUGUGUUUAGAUUUUUGAUUAUGGGCCCAGUUUUCAAGUUUGUCCAAGUUGGGGUCCAAAAUUAUACUUUGUUUGAUUUUAACAAAAAUUGAAUAUAUGGGGUUCUUUGAUAUGCUGAAUCUAACCAUGUAUUUUGAUUUUGGACAUUGGACCAUAAUAGGUAAAUUAAAAAAAUUCAAGUUCUUAGACCACAUUCUUUCUGUGUCAGAAACCUAUGCUGUGUCAAAUAUUUAAUAACAAUCCAAAUUCAGAGCUGUAUCAAGCUUGAAUGUUGUGUCCAUACUUGCCCCAACUGUUCAGGGUUCGACCUCUGCGGUCGUAUCAAGCUGCGCCCCAGCGAAGCAUUUUAUUAAUUAAUAUACAGGCAAUAUUAUUGUAUAUCUGUAAAACUGAUAAUGAAGCAUAUAUUGUUAUAUCAAUAACAAAACAUAAAAUACAUGUAUUAAUGCAAGAAAUGCUAUAAAUUGUCAAUUGUUCAACAAUUUUUCUUUGAAAAGAGGAUAUGGCGCUAGCUUGUUUUUUCUGUAAUUUAUUGUUAAUAGUAAAUGAGAGUGUAGUCACUUUUCAUCACCCUUCUUCAUAGAAAAAUAUAAGGAUUAAUAUAAGAUUUAUUCAGUUUUUUUAAUAUUAGAAAGAACAGUCCAAUGUGUCUAUGUUUUAAAUCUACACUGGGAAAUCUUGGUCUUUCUCCUAAUUAUAUUAAUAUGUUUGUUUAAUAGAGAGUUAUGUGUAGAUAUGUGGUUUGUUAUAUGAGGGUGAUGAAAGAAAUAUUUUUGAUAGAAAUAAAUGAAAUGAUCUCAUGCUAA